rnacentral:misc_RNA from 1 species
UGUGUUGCUUACCUAUCGAAAGGAAUUCGCUCGUUUCGGCGUCCCGUUCCGCCCGAUGCCCUCACGGGCGUGGGGCGGACAUCAGGCAAGAUUCGUGUUCCUGGCACGUCCCGCCGAGGACUGUCUUGGCCCACGGAGUCGUUGCCCGUUCUCUCGGAUGCAGAAUGCAACGCGCGGGCGCGGGGGUCUCGGCCUCCGCCAGCCCGAGCUACGCAUUUGUCCCUCGACAUGAACGACAGCCGCGCCCGUCCUGACCUCGCGUGCCUUCGGGUCGAUGGGGCUCACGCGGGCGUGGGCGUCGCGGAGGAAUGCUACCUGGUUGAUCCUGCCAGUAGUCA